rnacentral:rRNA from 1 species
UACGUAGGGGGCAAGCGUUGUCCGGAUUUAUUGGGCGUAAAGAGCUCGUAGGCGGCUUGUCACGUCGGUUGUGAAAGCCCGGGGCUUAACCCCGGGUCUGCAGUCGAUACGGGCAGGCUAGAGUUCGGUAGGGGAGAUCGGAAUUCCUGGUGUAGCGGUGAAAUGCGCAGAUAUCAGGAGGAACACCGGUGGCGAAGGCGGAUCUCUGGGCCGAUACUGACGCUGAGGAGCGAAAGCGUGGGGAGCGAACAGG